rnacentral:rRNA from 1 species
AUACAGGGGGUGCGAGCGUUAAUCGGAAUUACUGGGCGUAAAGAGUACGUAGGCGGUUGCUUAAGUCAGAUGUGAAAGCCCCGGACUCAACCUGGGAACUGCAUUUGAAACUGAGUGACUAGAGUUUAAGAGAGGGGAGUAGAAUUCCGGGUGUAGCGGUGAAAUGCGUAGAGAUCCGGAGGAAUACCAGUGGCGAAGGCGGCUCCCUGGCUUAAAACUGACGCUGAGGUACGAAAGCGUGGGUAGCAAUCAGGAUUAGAAACCCCAGUAGUCC